rnacentral:tRNA from 1 species
GGGGAAAUAGUUUAAUAGGUAAAAAUAUUGGUUUGUCACAUCAAUGAGUGAGGGUUCAAAUCCCUUUUUCCCCGCCA